UACGGGGGGGGCAAGCGUUGUUCGGAAUUACUGGGCGUAAAGGGCGCGUAGGCGGCCUACUAAGUCGGACGUGAAAUCCCUCGGCUCAACCGAGGAACUGCGUCCGAUACUGGCAGGCUGGAAUCCGGGAGAGGGAUGUGGAAUUCCAGGUGUAGCGGUGAAAUGCGUAGAUAUCAGGAGGAACACCAAUGGCGAAGGCAGCUCACUGGGACGGUAUUGACGCUGAGACGCGAAAGCGUGGGGAGCGAACAGG
rnacentral:rRNA from 1 species